rnacentral:rRNA from 1 species
ACCGGAUGCGGAUCUCGAAAGCCUGUCCCAGUUCGGACUGGAGUCUGCAACCCGACUCCACGAAGUUGGAUUCGCUAGUAAUCGCGCAUCAGCCAUGGCGCGGUGAGUACGUUCCCGGGCCUUGUACACACCGCCCGUCACACCAUGAGAGUUGGAAAUACCCGAAGCCUGUGAGCUAACUUUUAGAGGCAGCAGUCGAAGGUAGAGCCAAUGAUUGGGGUGAAGUCGUAACAAGGUAUC